rnacentral:lncRNA from 1 species
CGCUUCCUUAGGGGUUAAACUUCCAUUAGUCCAUAUUUCUAGAAAAAGUAUCUCGUGUUUUUCAUUUCCAUUCCCACAAGAAAAAAUACUAUAAUUCACAUUUCGAACAGGCAUGGAUACAGCAUCUAUAGGAUAACUUCCAUCUUGAUAGUUCUUUCUGAGUUCUGUCUGAUAUCCACGAUCUCUCUUGAUCUGUAAAUCAAUACAGAAAUCAAUGGGCUCUGUCAAGUUAGCUAUAGGUUGUGCCGUAUCAACGGUUUCUACGGAAGGCGGUAAGAUGAUAUCUUGAGCAGUUAUGUAUCUAGGACCUUUGACGCAAAUUGAUGCGUCUCUAACUCCAUAGAGAUUACUUCUCAAUACAAUUUCUUUCAAAUUUAGUAAAAUUUCUUGUACGGAUUCUUCAAUACCUGCUAUUGUAGAAUAUUCGUGUGGCACGCUCCCAAAUUUUGCACGUGUGAUACAUGUUCCUUCUAUUUCGCCAAGUAAAGCUCUUCGCAAGGCAAUACCAACGGUGUCCGCUUGACCUUUUCUAAGCGGGGACAGAAUGAAACGACCAUAAUAAAGACGCUUACUAUCUACUCUUGAUUCAACACACUUCCACUGUAGUGUUUGAGUGGAUCCUGCUACCUCCUCUCGAACCAUAAUAGACUAGUAUUAUUAUUUUAUCAUUGAAUCGUUUAUUUCUCUUGAAAGUUGAAAGCGGGUUAAUUCUUUUACAGACGUCUUUUUUUAGGUGGUCGACAUCCAUUAUGCGGCAUAGGUGUUACAUCGCGUAUACAACUUAAUCGCACACCACUUUUAGCAAUGGCUCGUAAUGCGGCAUCUCUUCCACUACCAGCGCCCUUUACCAUAACUUCUGCUCGUUGCAAACCUACUGUACGAAUAGCAUCUACUGCUGUUCUUUGACCAGCAUAGGGUGAUGCUUUUCUUGAGCUUUUGAAUCCACAAGUACCGGCCGAGGACCAGAAAACCACCCGACCUUGUGGGUCUGUAACAGUUAUAAUGGUAUUGUUGAAACUAGCUUGAACAUGAAUAACCCCUUUUGUUAUUCUACGUGCACUCUUCCGUAAACUAAAACGUGCAUUCCUACGUAAACCAAUACGCACUUUCUUACGUGAACCAAUUUUUGGUAUAGCUUUUGCCAUAUUUUAUUAUCUCAUAAAUAUGAGUUAGAAAUAAAAAAAAAGAUACAAAGAUAUCCGUUUCAGGGUAAAAUACACCCUUUACUUUAAUUAUUUGAAAUUAUUUUAUUUGGAAUUGGAACAUUUCCGCGGGUACUUUUUUUUACUUUUUAGACAGUAAAGUUCUUUUUCGAAAGAUUACCCCUGUCUUUGUUUAUGCUUCGGAUUAGAGCAAAUCACUCUAAUUCGUCCACGCCUACGAAUCAGUCGACAUUUUGUACAAAUUUUACGAACGGAAGCUCUUAUUUUCAUAUUUCCGUAUCCUUUUUUAAACUAUGAAUCUAAUAUUUUGGAAAAAAAUAAGUCUCUUCGCUUGAAUUUUAGAACUUAGAAUUUAUUACCCUAGAAAAAAAAAGAAAAACCUAAUCCUUUGAAUCUUUGGUAUUCUUCAAAUCUUCGCUAUCCUUCAAAUCUUCGCUAUCCUUCGAGUCUUCGAUACGCUUCGAAUCCUUAUGGGGAAGUCUAUAAAUUAUACGUCCCUUGCUUGAAUCAUAACGACUUACUUCAAUUUUGACCCUAUCCCCCAUCAGUAUUCGUAUAGAACUAGACCGGAUCUUUCCUGAAAUAUAGCCUAGGAUGAUGGUGUCAUUCUCUAGCCGAACGCGGAACAUUCCAUUGGGUAGGGCUUCCGUAACUAAACCUUCAAAAGUAACUUUUGCUUCUCUCGGGUUUUUUUUUCUCUCCUAUUUUUUUUUCUGUCAUAUUUUUUUCUCCUAUUUUUCCAUUUUUAUUUUCAAAAUAGGAAGGGCGAGGUAGAAUUCGAGCACUAUAGGCGGGGCGAUUACCAUAUAUAACAUAAGACUUCUCCCCCAAUUCUGUUUAGUCGAGCUUCUCGAUCUGUCAUUAUCCCUCGAGAAGUAGAAAGAAUAGCAAUUCCCAUUCCACCCAAAACUUUAGGAAUUCCUUGAUAGUUGGUAUAAAUUCGUAAGCCGGGUCGGCUAAUACGCUUUAAAAAAGUUCUUGUUCUAUAUAUUCCUUUUCGAGUCUUUCUCUUUUGAUGUCGCAAAGUUGAAACCAAGAAAUAUCUGUUACGUUCCUGAUGUUUCCGAACACUUUCAAGAAAACCCUCUCGUAGAAGUAUUUUAACAAUGUUUUCGGUAAUAUUUGUAGAUACUACUCGAACUGUUCCUUUUUUAUUCAUGUCCGCGUUUCUUAUAGAAGUUAGUAAAUCAGCAAUAGUGUCCUUGCCCAUAAGACUCUAAUUCUAGGUUCCUCCUAAUUUUUCUAUAAUCAACAUGUUUUCUUUUUUUUCUUUUCAUUUUGGAUUUUAAAACAUAUACGUAAAACACAAUCUACUAAUAUUAAUUCUUUGAUCUAAAUUUCGCCUACUAGUAUUUAUAAUACUUCAGGAGCUAAUGAAACUAUUUUGGUAAAAUUCAAUUCUCUCAAUUCCUCGGCAAUCGCGCCAAAAACUCGAGUUCCUUUUGGGUUGCCUUUUUGAUCAAUUAUAACCGCAGCAUUGUCAUCAUAGCGGAUUAUUAUACCGUCUUCGCAUUUGAAUUCUUUACAUGUACGUACAAUUACAGCUCGAAUUACUUCGGAUCUUUCUAGAGGCAUUUGGGGCAAUGCGUCUUUGAUUACAGCAACAAUAACAUCACCAAUACGAGCAUAUCGCUGAUUACCAGCAGCUCCUAUGACUCGAAUACACAUCAAUUUUCGAGCUCCACUAUUGUCUGCUACAUUUAAAAGGGUCUGAGGUUGAAUCAUAUUAUUUUGAUUUCAAUUUGUUAUUUCAAUGCAAAAGGAUGAAAGAAAUAUUGUCUUUCCAGAAAGAAAAACCGGGCAUUUUUUUUCUUCCAUACCCCUUUUAGGGUUCUAUAUCUCUAAUCGAAUAAAUUGACUUCGUAUGGGCAUUUUACUGGCCGCUAUGGAGAUAGCUGCUCUAGCUACAGUUUCAGAUACUCCCCCCAUUUCAUAAAGUAUACGACCUGGUUUAACAACGGCUACCCAAUAUUCGGGGGACCCCUUUCCCGAGCCCAUACGUGUUUCCGUGGGUCUUAGUGUAACCGGUUUGUCGGGAAAUAUACGUACCCAUAUUUUUCCACCACGACGUGCAUAUCGUGUUAUUGCUCUUCGUCCUGCUUCUAUCUGUCUCGCCGUGAUCCAAGCGGGUUCAAGUGCUUGAAGAGCAUAUCUACCAAAACAAAUACGAUUGCCUCGGAAGGAUUUUCCUUUCAUUCUUCCUCUAUGUUGUUUGCGAAAUCUGGUUCUUUUGGGGUUAUAGUCGAUGGUUCUCUUUCUUAGUUCCAUCUCUACUCCAAAACUGGACAUGAGAGUUUCUUCUCAUCCAGCUCCUCGCGAAUGGAAUGAGAAAGCAUGUAAAUAAAUUUCUCUAAUUCCAUAAUAUUUAAAAAUAUUACGGUACGGAUAGAUACACAUUAAUAGAUAAUAGAAAAAGUUAGGUUUUUUUUUAUUUUUAUAUUGAAUUUGUUAAAACAGAAAAAUAUAAUAUAUAGUCAAAAAAGAAGAUCUAGAAUAUAUCCAGAUGUGUGUGGAUAUUUAUCUAAAUUCUAUAUUUAUAGAUAAUAAUGUAGUCCUUCUAAAAAAUAUCCUUAUUUUUACUCUUAUUGAAUCGCGGUAAAGUAUUCUAAUUCAAUAAGAAUUUCGCGGGCGAAUAUUUACUCUUUCCUGUCUUAUUUGUUAAUUUAUAAACUUACCAAAUAAGACAAUUUUUUUGGUUUGUUCCGCCAUCCCACCCAAUGAAGUGUUAGGAUUCUUUUCAAUAAAAUCCUAUGGAAUCAUAGGUUCUGUCGUUCCCACUGCUUCUCCUUGAAUGGUUAGGUCUGAAUCCCGCAACGGAGCUUCCAAAAAAUUUCUUUCCGAGUUAAUUUUCUCAGUUUUAUUAACCCGGGCGGCUCUUUAUUAUUGCUUAAAAUUUGUAGUUCUUCUUUCAAGUUACAAUUUUUCAUUCUCUAUUAGUUUUAUUAUAUUGAUGCUUUUUCACAUUGCCUUUUAUGAUGUAAUUCAUAGACCAUACACAGUGGAAUUCUAUAUCUUAUUUAUUUCCUCUUCCUUCUUUCUAUCAUCCCUCCCUUUAUCCACAUCCCUUUAGUUUUGCUUCACAACCUAGAAUCCCAUUUUUUUUUUAGAUAAAAAAGUGCAGUUGCUACAACUAUAUGACACAUCUACUCAUUUAUGAUAGAGGUAUUUAUUCAUAUAGUGACUGUUUCUUAGUUAGGAUCUCGACAAUACGAAGCAAUAGGUUGGUUAUUAGUAUUAGUUAAUUUUCUAUAAUUACUAAGUUUUUUUCUUUAAAAAAGAAAAAAAAUAACGAGUCACACACUAAGCAUAGCAAUUAUAUUAAAUGAUUUAUCAAUUUUCAUUAAAUCUUAUAGAAAGAGGUAGAAUUUCUUCUUUUGCAGGGAUUUCAGGAAAAAAGUCUCUUGUCAUUUUUUAUUCUAUCAAUGGACAGAAUUCGAAGACAAGAUUAGUUAUUCUUCGUCUACGAAUAUCCAAAUUUUUACACCUAAUACUCCAUAGAUAGUUCGAAUUGGAUAGCAGCAAUAAUCAAUUUUAGCGCGGAUUGUUUGGAGGGGAAGUCUGCCCCUUUUAAUGGAUUCGGCACGUGCAAUUUCUUUUCCUCCGAGACGACCCGCAAUUUUUACUUUUACUCCCCUUAUAUCUGCUUUUUUAGUUAAUUCAAUGGCUUUUUUCAUUGCCUUUCGGAAUGAAACUCUAUUUUUUAAUUGGAAAGCUAUAUAUUCUGCAAGAAUGUUAGGCUGUCUAUAAGGUUCUUUAACUUUUUCGAUAGAAAUAUUAAAUCUCUGGUUUACAGAGUUAAUUUCCUUUUGUAGAUCUUUCUCUAAUUCUUCGAUUGCUCCUUUUUUCUUUAAUAAAUUUGGGAAUCCAAUAUGGAUUAUGACGUGGAUCGUAUCGAUUUCUUUUUGAAUUUCUAUAUGUGUAAUUACUUCGGAACUUGAACCUGAGUCCAUUUUUCUAUUAUGUGUAAUUACUUCGGAACUUGAGUCUGAUUCUAUUUUUCUAUUCGAGCCCUUUUUCCUAUUCUUUUGUAUAUAGUUCUUGAUACAAUCCCUUAUUUUUUUAUCUUCCUGUAGACCUUCAGAAUAAUUUUUUGGUUGUGCGAACCAAAAGGAAUGGUGUUUUUGGGUUGUACCAAGUCUGAAACCGAGUGGAUUUAUUUUUUGUCCCAUAUUUUUCUAUUCUAUAUUUUUUUUUACUGGGAAUCGAAAUCUUAGAUGGAUCUAAAGGUUAUUUAGAUUUCUUUACUAUAUUUAGUACAAUUGUUAUAUGACACAUGCUUUUUUUUAUAGGGAAACUACGUCCUCGAGCUCGAGGUCUGAAUUUCUUCAUAAUAGUACUCCUACUGACUUCGGCUUUAGUAAUGAAUAAAUUCGCUUUGUCGAAAUCCCUAUAAUGAGUUGCAUUUGCGGCUGCCGAAUAAACCAACUUUAAGAUGGGAUAAGAUGCUCGAUAGGGCAUGAGGUUCAGUAUCAUAACAGUUUCCUCGUAGUAACGCCACCGAAUCUCGUCAAGAACUCUUUGUGCUUUGAAAACAGACAUAGGGAUACGUUUUUGUGCUUUGAAAACUCUCUCGAACUUAAGUAGACGAUCGGUUGGAACUUUCCUUGCGAGUUUCCUUAGCCCACUUUUCUUCUUCUUUAUCCUAGGGAUAUACUUUACUAGUUUGAAACUUGUCAUAAAUAAGUUUAUUCCCCGCCUACCUUUACUUUAUUUUGAAUCUUUUUUUUCUUCUUAAUCUUUCUAUUCAGAAUUCAGUUAACGACGAGAUUUAGUAUCCUUUCUUGCAUUUUCAUAACUCGUAAAAUGCCGAGUAGGCACGAAUUCUCCCAAUUUGCGACCUACCAUAGGAUUUGUUAUGUAAAUAGGUAUAUGUUCCUUUCCAUUAUGAAUCGCAAUUGUAUGGCCAACCAUUGUGGGUAGAAUGCUAGAUGCCCGGGACCACGUUACUAUUGUUUCUUUCUCCUCCUUCAUAUUGACCUUUUCUAUCUUUGCCAAUAAAUGAUGAGCUACAAAAGGAUUCGUUUUUUUUCGUGUCACAGCUGAUUACUCCUUUUUUCCUUUUUAAAGAGUUGGCAUUCUAUGUCCAAUAUCUCGAUCGAAGUACGGAGGUCAGAAUAAAUAGAAUAAUGGAUACAACGGAAAAAAGAAAAAAUCCUUUAGCUGGACUAAGGGGCGGAUGUAGCCAAGUGGAUCAAGGCAGUGGAUUGUGAAUCCACCAUGCGCGGGUUCAAUUCCCGUCGUUCGCCCAUCGCAUUAUUGCAAGCAGAGCAGGUUUGAAAAAGGAUCUUAGAGUGUCUAGGGUUGGGCCAGGAGGGUCUCUUAACGCCUUCCUUUUUUCUGCCCAUCGGAGUUAUUUCCCAAGGACUUGCCAUGGUAAGAGGGAGAAGGGGGGAAGAAACACACUUGAAGAGCGCAGUACAACNNNNNNNNNNNNNNNNNNNNNNNNNNNNNNNNNNNNNNNNNNNNNNNNNNNNNNNNNNNNNNNNNNNNNNNNNNNNNNNNNNNNNNNNNNNNNNNNNNNNCUCAGCGCAUACGGCUCCUCGGUCAAUUCUUUCGAAGGGAUCCUUUUCCUCGUUCGAGAGUCUCCGCCCUUCUUCCACUCCGUCCCGAAGACUAACUAAGACCAAUUGAGUCACGUUUUCAUGUUCUAAUUGAACACUUUCCAUUUAUGAUAUGAUUAAAGGAGAAGAUUGUUCUUUUACCAAACAUAUGCGGAUCAAAUCACGUCUUAUAAUAAGAAGAAAUCUUUCUCGGUAUCAAUCCCCUUGCCCCUCAUUCUUUGAGAAUCAGAAGGAUCCUUUUCGAGUUUCCAUUUCUUCAUUUGGAAUCUGGGCUCUUCUAUCUUCGACUUAUUUUUUUGGCUUUAUUCUUUAUUUAUUUCAUUUCGAUUUUUCCCUCUUCCUCUAUCCCUAUCCUCUAGGUACAGCGUUUGCAUCAAUAGAGAACCUUUUCCUCUGUAUGAAUCUAUAUUAUUCCAUUCCAAUUUCUUCCCGAAACUUCCCAAGAAAAAUCCCGAAUUGGAUCCAAAAUUGACGGGUUAAUGUGAGCUUAUCCAUGCGGUUAGGCACUCUUCAAAUAGGAAUCCAUUUUCUAACUGGCUUUCGUGCUUUGGUGAGUUGUCCGAGAUCUUUUCGAUGACCUAUGUUGUGUUGAAGGGAUAUCUAUAUGAUCCGAUCGAUUGCAUAAGACCCGCGGUAGCAAUAGAACGGGAAAGUAUACAGAAAAAGACAGUUCUUUUCAAUUUCGAUUAUCUAUAUAUUAGUUCGUUUCUAUUUCUAGAUAUCUAUUUCUAUAUAUUAGUAUUAGUUAGUAGUACUAUUCUAUUAGUUACCGAUCCCGGCUCUGUGAGUUCUUUCUUCCGUGAUGAACUGUCGGCACCAGUCCUACAUUUUUUUCUCUGUGGACCGAGGAGAAAGGGGGCUCAGCAGGAAGAGGAUUGUACCAUGAGAGAAGCACGGAGGUCAACCCGCUUCAAAUAUGGAAAAACACAUAUUACACCUUGCCCUUUUUGAUUGAGAAUUGUAUCUGUAGCUACUGCUGUUUUGCCAGUCUGUCUGUCCCCAAUAAUUAACUCUCGCUGACCGCGCCCUAUAGGAAUCAUCGAAUCGAUAGCAAUAAGCCCUGUUUGAAGAGGUUCGUAUACGGAACGCCUGGAACGCAUGAGNNNNNNNNNNNNNNNNNNNNNNNNNNNNNNNNNNNNNNNNNNNNNNNNNNNNNNNNNNNNNNNNNNNNNNNNNNNNNNNNNNNNNNNNNNNNNNNNNNNNUGGAAUUCCUUUUUUGUUUUUCUUUAGAUUAGUUAAUCUUUUUUGAAAAGUAAAAAGGGGUGGAAGUAAACCUGUUUUUAUUUUCUUCGAAACUAGUGCCCCUCUUCCUCGGCGUGUAGAAAAGGAAGAAAUAAAUCAAUCAAAUUACGAGAAGCCUCAUAAAGCGCUUCCUUAGGGGGUAGUAUUAGUUAAUUUUUCUAUAAAUUACUAAGUUUUUUUCUUAAAAAAGAAAAAAAAUAACGAGUCACACACUAAGCAUAGCAAUUAUAUUAAAUGAUUUAUCAAUUUUCAUUAAAUCUUAUAGAAAGAGGUAGAAUUUCUUCUUUUGCAGGGAUUUCAGGAAAAAAAGUCUCUUGUCAUUUUUUAUUCUAUCAAUGGACAGAAUUCGAAGACAAGAUUAGUUAUUCUUCGUCUACGAAUAUCCAAAUUUUUUACACCUAAUACUCCAUAGAUAGUUCGAAUUGGAUAGCAGCCAAUAAUCAAUUUUAGCGCGGAUUGUUUGGAGGGGAAGUCUGCCCCUUUUAAUGGAUUCGGGCACGUGCAAUUUCUUUUCCUCCGAGACGACCCGCAAUUUUUAC